rnacentral:rRNA from 1 species
GAUGAACGCUGGCGGCGUGCCUAAUACAUGCAAGUCGAGCGAACAGACGAGGAGCUUGCUCCUCUGACGUUAGCGGCGGACGGGUGAGUAACACGUGGAUAACCUACCUAUAAGACUGGGAUAACUUCGGGAAACCGGAGCUAAUACCGGAUAAUAUAUUGAACCGCAUGGUUCAAUAGUGAAAGACGGUUUUGCUGUCACUUAUAGAUGGAUCCGCGCCGCAUUAGCUAGUUGGUAAGGUCACGGCUUACCAAGGCAACGAGGCGUAGCCGACCUGAGAGGGUGAUCGGCCACACUGGAACGGAGACACGGUCAAGACGCCUACGGGAGGCAGCAGUAGGGAAUCGUCCGCAAUGGGCGAAAGCCUGACGGAGCAACGCCGCGUGAGUGAUGAAGGUCUUCGGAUCGUAAAACUCUGUUAUUAGGGAAGAACAAAUGUGUAAGUAACUAUGCACGUCUUGACGGUACCUAAUCAGAAAGCCACGGCUAACUACGUG